rnacentral:rRNA from 1 species
GACGAACGCUGGCGGCGUGCUUAACACAUGCAAGUCGAACGGGAUAAUUUGAGAGCUUGCUCUUAGAGAAUCUAGUGGCAAACGGGUGAGUAACACGUAGACAACCUGCCGACAGGAUGGGGACAACAUUCCGAAAGGAAUGCUAAUACCGAAUGAAGCGGAGGAGAGGCAUCUCUCCUCCGUGAAAGAUGGCCUCUGAAUAUGCUAUCACCUGUCGAUGGGUCUGCGUCUGAUUAGCUAGUUGGUGAGGUAACGGCUCACCAAGGCGACGAUCAGUAGCCGGUCUGAGAGGAUGAACGGCCACAUUGGGACUGAGACACGGCCCAGACUCCUACGAGAGGCAGCAGUGGGGAAUCUUCCGCAAUGGGCGCAAGCCUGACGGAGCAACGCCGCGUGAGUGAAGAAGGUCUUCGGAUCGUAAAGCUCUGUUGACGGGGACGAACGUGCGAAGGGUGAAUAAUCCGUUGUAAUGACGGUACCUGUCGAGGAAGCCACGGCUAACUACGUG